rnacentral:rRNA from 1 species
UCCUCCCUCUUUCUUCGUGCCUAAUACAUGCAAGUUGAGCGCUGAAGGUUGGUACUUGUACCAACUGGAUGAGCAGCGAACGGGUGAGUAACGCGUGGGGAAUCUGCCUUUGAGCGGGGGACAACAUUUGGAAACGAAUGCUAAUACCGCAUAAAAACUUUAAACACAAGUUUUAAGUUUGAAAGAUGCAAUUGCAUCACUCAAAGAUGAUCCCGCGUUGUAUUAGCUAGUUGGUGAGGUAAAGGCUCACCAAGGCGAUGAUACAUAGCCGACCUGAGAGGGUGAUCGGCCACAUUGGGACUGAGACACGGCCCAAACUCCUACGGGAGGCAGCAGUAGGGAAGCUUCGGCAAUGGACGAAAGUCUGACCGAGCAACGCCGCGUGAGUGAAGAAGGGUUUCGGAUCGUAAAACUCUGUUGGUAGAGAAGAACGUUGGUGAGAGUGGAAAGCUCAUCAAGUGACGGUAACUACCCAGAAAGGGACGGCUAACUACGUG